UACGUAGGGGGCAAGCGUUGUCCGGAAUUAUUGGGCGUAAAGCGCGCGCAGGCGGCCAUGUAAGUCUGGUGUUUAAGCCCGGAGCUCAACUCCGGGACGCAUUGGAAACUGUGUGGCUGGAGUGCAGAAGAGGAGAGUGGAAUUCCACGUGUAGCGGUGAAAUGCGUAGAGAUGUGGAGGAACACCAGUGGCGAAGGCGACUCUCUGGUCUGUAACUGACGCUGAGGCGCGAAAGCGUGGGGAGCAAACAGG
rnacentral:rRNA from 1 species